CGCAAAGCCUGAUCYAGCACAUGCCGCGUGWGUGAUGAAGGYCUUAGGGUUGUAAAGCUCUUUUACCAGGGAUGAUAAUGACAGUACCUGGAGAAUAAGCUCCGGCUAACUCCGUGCCAGCAGCCGCGGUAAUACGGAGGGAGCUAGCGUUGUUCGGAAUUACUGGGCGUAAAGCGCGCGUAGGCGGCUAUCCAAGUCAGGGGUGAAAUCCCGGGGCUCAACCCCGGAACUGCCCUUGAAACUAGGUUGC
rnacentral:rRNA from 1 species